UUUGAUCGACCCCAGCCACAGCGGCCGCUCGGUGGGACGGCCUUGACCAUAGGUGGCCAGCAGGGCGGUCGCUUC
rnacentral:antisense_RNA from 1 species